GUGGGGAAUCUUAGACAAUGGGCGCAAGCCUGAUCUAGCCAUGCCGCGUGAGCGAUGAAGGCCUUAGGGUUGUAAAGCUCUUUCGUGGGGGAAGAUAAUGACUGUACCCCAAGAAGAAGCCCCGGCUAACUCCGUGCCAGCAGCCGCGGUAAUACGGAGGGGGCUAGCGUUGUUCGGAAUUACUGGGCGUAAAGCGCACGUAGGCGGAUUGGAAAGUUGGGGGUGAAAUCCCGGGGCUCAACCCCGGAACUGCCUUCAAAACUACCAGUCUUGAGUUCGGGAGAGGUGAGUGGAAUUCCGAGUGUAGAGGUGAAAUUCGUAGAUAUUCGGAGGAACACCAGUGGCGAAGGCGGCUCACUGGCUCGAUACUGACGCUGAGGUGCGAAAGCGUGGGGAGCAAACAGGAUUAGAUACCCGAGUAGUCC
rnacentral:rRNA from 1 species